ACAACUUUCCAGCAGUGGGAUGUCUAAGGCUCGCACAUCGGAUGAAGAACGCUGCGAACUGCGAUACGUAAUGCGAAUUGCAGAAUUCAGUGAGUCAUCGGAAAUUUUGAACGCAUAUUGCACUUCGGGUUAUGCCUGGAAGUAUGUCUGUAUCAGUGUCCGUA
rnacentral:rRNA from 1 species